ensembl:lncRNA
GCCGUCAGCGUGGAUGCGAGGACGUCCGCGGAGGACGCGGGAGUUCGCCGUGCCGGACACACGCAUACGUGUUCAUCGUUAACAACGCGGUCCCAGUGUACCCCCAGCGACGGAGGGCGAGUCACCAGUUGGCGGGGAAGUAGCGCCGCGGCCACUAAUGGAUGAUGAAGAGGAAGACAUGCCUCGGCCUGUCUCGUCCCACUGGGGGACUCCCGUCAUGGAUGCUAAGGACAGAGCCAUGCAGGGGAGGGUCAGGACCUGGCCCCUCGGGGACCCGGCGCAGUCGAGGCCGCUCGUCAACGGCAACAACGGCUACGGUUUGCACUUCCCGGCGCUACCCGGGGCAGGUCGCGGUCAGAGGCACGGCGGGAACGACCGAGCCAGGCGCCCGGCAGAGGACGUGAGCCCGAGCUUGGAGGGCGACCCCGCCGCGCACGUGGAGGCCCAGAUCGGCCGGAAACUCCGGGAGAUCGGGGAUCGGUUCAACCGGGAGCACCUGCAGCUGUUGGUCAGACACCAAAGAGAUCGGCUGCCGGCGUGGUGGCGUCUGACCAUGGCGCUCUGCGACUUCCUGUUCCGGAGGGAGAACCCAAGAUGAAGUGGGUCCCGGCGGAGGACAGGCCUCGUCCCAUUGCACUCCAAAAGACUCUGUGACGGCACUGUACGACGGAACACGGCUUUCGGCUGAACGGAUUAAAGUGACUCGAUGACAAUGAACAGAAACGGAAGACAGUGGUGGUCACCGCAGGACGGAGACUCUUUUUUUAAAAUUUUUAAUUAUUAUUAUUAUUAUUAUAUUUCGUUCCCAGUUCAUGAAGAAGCCAUUCUGCUUGAAGAGCUAUUUAAAGUGUUUCUUUCGGUCUGUUGCUUUUUUUUUUUUUUAAAUGGACCUCUUGUCAGAUCAGCUAAUGCCUUACUCUGUUCCUGCACCGGCGGAAGGACUUCGACGGCGGGGGAGGGGGCGGGAUUAAAAACGGCCCGAGACGUGACCAGUCCAGUGACGGGACUCGAGGUCCUCACCCGAAGCCCACUUCGGAGAGCCUCCCCCCUCCGAGCGCUGUACGCUGGCCGCGGCCGCCGGAGGAGGCUGCGUUGACCUUCACACGGCGUGAAAAAAGAAAAAAGAAACGUGGCUUGGUGAUGGUUUUUUUUUUGUUUUUUUUAAACAGAGCACAGGAAAAGACGCGCCUAGACCUUCGCGACCGUAACCAGCCUAGCGCAUAACUUUCAUGCGAGGCGUUUUUUUUUUUUUUUUUUCCCUUGACUCCGCCCCCCCCCGGGCGCUCCCGACCCAUUCGUCGGGGGGUUUACUGUGAGCACAGCUUCCGAGGUGCUACGGGACCACAUUUCAGAGGGGUCCUCUUGCGGCGAACGCGCUGUUGUAACGCCCGCCCAGUCUGAUUGCACUUGAACUUGAACUUGCCUUUCGGCCCCCUCGGAGCAGCAAUGCGGUGAUGGGGGGUGGGGACGCCACCGGAGGCUGUGAAACCCUCGAGGUCGACGCUGUUACAAUCCCGGUCAGCACGAGUAGGGCAGACCUUCGUGGGUCGAAUCAAAUUUGCCUUAUUUGUCUGAUCUGUCCGAUGGGAAAGUGAGCACGUGGAAGUGCCGAAAAUUGCUUUUCAAUAAAAAAAACACACACACACA